ACCAUGAAGCGUUUUUUUCGGAACGAGACGUAGUACACUGUCCUGAGUGAACUUCUCUUUCAUUAGACGGAGAGUUCUAAAUGCCGGUCACAGCUACCUCUGUCCUAAGGGCACAAGUGUGACAUGGAUUUUGGAGUCCCCACCCACCAGCCCCCUUCCCAGCUGUCUCUCAUGCCCCUCUCACCCCGUGGAGUUCAUCCGGGGCCCCCCCGUGGACAGGCCACGCCCGGCGUACAGAGGGGACGGCGAGGCCCAGGUGCUUCUGGGAGUGAAGAGCCGUGACCUACAGCAGCCUGCAAAGUUUCGCCGCCCCCGGCUACCGCCACCCCCCCGUCGGCGGCACCGCAGCCUGACGUCAGGGACCGGGCGCGCUCAGCGUGUGGAACAAGGCGACCGCAGCCUCGACCGCGCCCGGUCAUUUCCUCAAACCCGAAGCGUGUCUAACUGAAUCUGUCCCGCCUUUUUAAAGACAUUAUUUGAUAGGGAUUCCCCUUACAACAGUAAGAGACAUUUUUUUGGACACUGAAUGUGUUGAACCAUAAAAAAAUAGGAAAACAGAAUCGGUGCAGUUCCACUGCAAAAUCAGCACGCCAAUAUGAUGCCUGUAAAUCAGUCUUUUUGUGUUUAAAUACUGGUAUUGUGCUGCUUUGAAACCGUGUUUUUUUUCUUUCUUUUUUUUUGUUUUGUAUUUUUAAAAUAUUGACAUUUGUUUUUGUUUAGUCGUAACAAAAAAAAAUUAGCAUACAAGACUUAGAUUUGCCUUAACUAUGUUUUAGCCUCAUUUUUGGAUGAGUACAAAAAAUCUUAUGUUCUUUACAUUAAAGAGCAAUUUCAUGUGCAAUGUGCAUGACACCUAUAAAUGGAAAUUAGUGGAAAAUGCUGCUUCAAAUGAAUAUUGUAGUAUUUAUUUACUAUCAAAAUCCACUAUAUUUUAAGUUCUAAUUUUUUUAGGUUUUCAGUGUAAUUUGUCAUUACAAAUUUGUGAUACAUCAGCGACCAUAAUAAAGGAACAGCUUGGUGGGUGAGGUGAUAUUACAAGUGAAUGGGUGACAGUGUAGCAUAAUUGUUAAGGAACUGGACUCAUAACGUUUGCAGGUUUGAUUCCCGGUUGAGACACUGCUGUUGUCCC